UUCUAUCUUUUUAUCUGGAGAACUCCUUGAAGAAGUAGAGAACAAGAAUGGAAGUUGUUAGGCCUCAUUUGAACGUAUGGGGACUCUAUUCCUUUCACCAAAUUUCAAUCACCUACUAGUUUGAGUUUUCCAAGGAGUCUUGAAACAAAUACAGGUAGUGCCUAAGAGCCCCAGUAAUGGACAUGAAUGCCUGAAUCUGGUGGCACUAGGACCCCUGGUGGUGCCUCUCCUUCCCACCACCAUAUGGCCUUCGGGGAAAUCUGCAGUGGGGGACCCAGCCGUAGACUCCAGCUGGUAGCAGCAGCAUCA